rnacentral:rRNA from 1 species
AAUUCGACGCAACGCGAAGAACCUUACCAAGGCUUGACAUACACCGGAAACGCCCAGAGAUGGGCGCCCCCUUGUGGGCGGGGUACAGGGGGGGCAUGGGUGUCGUCAGCUCGUGUCGUGAGAUGUUGGGUUAAGUCCCGCAACGAGCGCAACCCUUGUCCCGUGUUGCCAGCAGGCCCUUGGGGGGCUGGGGACUCACGGGAGACCGCC